UUUGUUUCGGAAGCUUUUACCCUUCCACCAUACAUUGCUUGUUCAACAAGCGUGUCUUUCCAGUGUUAAAAAAAAAUUGAAUUCAGAUCGUAUUUGGCACGGUUCACUUGUUCAUGUCGUAUUUAGCACGACUGAAAUUGUUGAAGUUGGAAUAGGUAUUUUUCCUCAUUUUUCUUCUAGCAAGUCCUCUUCUCCUUAUUAUAUCAGGCAUGUAUCUUUCAAACAAUAUAUGUUAUUGAUAAUUUAUGUUCUUUUUUUUUCCAUUGAAAUUGUCCAUGCAGGACUACCAACCAACCAGGUUUUUUUUAAAAGUACA
rnacentral:lncRNA from 1 species